GUGAUCAUACCAGCACUAAUACACCGAAUUUCAUGAGAAUUGAUGUAGUUAAAUGUGCUUGGGCAAGAGUAUUACUAGCUAGGAUGGGUGACCCAUCGGGAAGUCCUCUCGUUGCAC